UUUAAGUUAAGCUAAUCUCCAAGCUAUUGGGCCCAUAACCCAAAAAUGAUACAAAGUUUGGUG
rnacentral:tRNA from 1 species